CGAGAUAUACAAAAUAUCUGGUUUUGGAUAAAGUAACAGACAGCUAUGGUUGUUACACUUCACUUCAAACCUCAGUUCCGAAACUGAGAGACCACAAGUUCCAUAAUUUCUAACAAUGGUGGCUCUAACUCUGAGUCCCACAAAAACCCUUUUCCUCAAUUCCCAUCUUCUUCACUCCACUUUCAAACCCCAUUUCAUUAAUCCAUACAGUACCAAAACUCACAGUCUCCACAGUUCGAGGUUUCUCUCAUUCAACUUAGUUACUUGCAAGCUGAAGUCACCUCAAGAUAUCAAGAACAAGGACAAGGACAUAUCCAAGAAGAUUGUGUUGUCAGAGGCAGCACCGUCCCUGGCGGAGAAAGGUGGUGAUGGUGGUGGUGGUGGUGAAGGCAAUGGAAAUGGGGAGGUUAAAGCAAAGUCAGGAGGUAAUUUGAUGAGGUUGGUGAAGAGGUUCCCCAGAAAGGUUCUGGGGGUUUUGUCUAAUCUGCCUUUGGCUAUUGGAGAAAUGUUCGCUGUUGCUGCUCUAAUGGCCCUUGGUACUUUCAUUGAUCAAGGUGAAGCUCCAGACUUCUAUUUUCAAAAGUACCCUGAAGACAAUCCUGUAUUGGGAUUUUUCACUUGGAGAUGGGUUCUCACCCUUGGGUUUGACCACAUGUACUCAUCUCCCGUUUUUCUUGGAACAUUAGUUCUCCUGGGUGCAUCGCUCGUGGCCUGCACUUACACAACACAGAUACCCCUGGUUAAGGUCGCAAGAAGAUGGAAUUUCUUAGACUCUUCUGAGGCUAUCCGCAAGCAGGAAUAUUCAGACACUUUACCUAGAGCAUCAGUUCAAGAUUUAGGUGUUCUUCUGAUGGGAGCGGGAUAUGAGGUAUUCCUGAAAGGACCAUCUUUAUAUGCCUUUAAGGGGCUUGCUGGUCGGUUUGCCCCUAUUGGAGUACAUUUAGCAAUGCUUCUCAUAAUGGCCGGUGGAACUCUUAGUGCAGCUGGGAGCUUCAGAGGUUCAGUCACAGUUCCACAGGGAUUGAAUUUUGUUGUUGGAGAUGUAUUAGGCCCGACUGGGUUUCUCUCUACUCCCACUGAUGCUUUCAAUACUGAGGUUCAUAUUAACAGAUUCUACAUGGAUUACUAUGACAGUGGAGAGGUGUCCCAGUUUUACACUGAUCUUUCGCUCUUUGACCUUGAUGGGAAGGAGAUAAUGAGGAAAACAAUUAGCGUAAAUGAUCCUUUAAGGUAUGGUGGAAUCACUAUAUACCAGACAGAUUGGAGUUUUUCAGCACUGCAAAUACUUAAGGAUGAUGAAGGACCUUUUAAUCUGGCAAUGGCACCCAUAAAGAUCAAUGGAGACAAGAAGCUUUUUGGGACUUUCUUACCAGUUGGAGAUGCCGAAUCGCCUAAUGUAAAAGGAAUAUCAAUGCUUGCUCGUGAUCUACAAUCAAUUGUCAUAUAUGAUCUGGAAGGAAAAUUUUCUGGAGUUCGACGGCCUGGCUCUAAGCUCCCGAUUGACAUAGAUGGUUCAAGAAUUGUUAUCGUAGAUGCAAUAGGCAGCAGUGGCCUUGACCUGAAGACUGAUCCUGGGGUGCCAAUUGUUUAUGCUGGAUUUGGUGCUCUAAUGCUCACAACUUGCAUCAGUUUUCUAUCUCAUUCACGGAUUUGGGCCUUACAAGAUGGAACUAUGGUUGUCGUUGGAGGAAAAACUAAUCGAGCAAAGGCUGAAUUUCCAGAGGAGAUGGACCGCUUGCUUGAUCGAGUUCCAGAAAUAGUCGAAUCAUCUCGUUCCAAGGAACCUGAUAAUGUUAGUGGCUAGUUUAUGAGGCAUUUUAGAUGGAAAGAGAGAACACUUGUAGUGGGUUGAUAGAUGCAAUUUUAAACUUUGAAGUAAAGCAGAGAGGUGGCUUGAAUACAAUCAGACAUCCAGCUCUCUAAUUAAGGGCACCGCUCCAUCCCAAUUGAACUAAACUUUGGCACAGAAGAUGGUUGAUAAAUUUCUUUCCUCAUUUUAAGUACUCAUGAUAUUGGAGUCAAACAUAUAUUUUCUAGUAUUUGAGAAGUUGUGGACUAAAAAUAGACGUGUACAAGCCCAUUGUAUGAUCUAGUCAAGCCCAAAGUAUGUUGUAUUAUCCUUAUUCAGGUUUUUUCUACUAAGAAAUAAGAAUCCUAAUGUUACUUGUAUUAAAAAACCUAAUCCAUUUUUGCAGUGCAAGUAAUAAGUCCAUUAAACCAAAU